UACGAAGGGGGCUAGCGUUGCUCGGAAUCACUGGGCGUAAAGCGCACGUAGGCGGCUUUUUAAGUCAGGGGUGAAAUCCUGGAGCUCAACUCCAGAACUGCCUUUGAUACUGAGAAGCUUGAGUCCGGGAGAGGUGAGUGGAAUUGCGAGUGUAGAGGUGAAAUUCGUAGAUAUUCGCAAGAACACCAGUGGCGAAGGCGGCUCACUGGCCCGGUACUGACGCUGAGGUGCGAAAGCGUGGGGAGCAAACAGG
rnacentral:rRNA from 1 species